UUCAAGUUGCCAAGGUUGGGAAACACUGCAUUAAAGGACAUAUUGCUAAGGUUUGCGUGCAGGUUUUUGUGCUGUUGUGGUUUUUUUUUGUUUUUGCGAUAACCCACCACUUUCCGAAGCCUUUUGUGCAGAUAAUGCAACGUUUGCAAUAUAAAAUAAAAAGGGGGCAUGCAUUUUUAUCUCACACAUUCUUAUUUCUUUUCCCACAGUCUUAAAACAGGGCCAUCGUUGGUUGUCUCCAGGCGUGAGAAUUGUUCGUAAGACGGCAAAGAUGGGCUUCGCAAAAAAAACAUAUUUUUUUUCAUAUAAUUAGGACAUAGAAUCAUAAAGCUGGAAGGGACCUCAGAGAUCUUGUCCAAUCCCUCCACCCCCUGCUCAAGGCAGGAGACAUUAUAUCAUCCCAAUCAAAGGGUUGUCUGGUCUAUUUUUGGAAACCUCCACUGAUGGAGCAUCUACAACUCCAGGAGAAGUCCAAGGAGAAGUGGUCCAGAUUGAACAUCCAUAAGGCUAACCCAUGCAUCUACUGGAUGGUUGAAAUAAUGAUCCAGGAAGAUACUCAGGCAUGUUUUGAGGGCAGUGUUUGUUCAACUAGUGAUGCAUAGACCAAGAGACACACAAUGUUCAUCUCUUCACCCUGAAAGGGCCUGCCAGAGGACAAGGUAUAUUCUCCAAAGUAGAUUUUGGCGUCUCAAUAGCACAUUUCCUGGAAUCAGGAGUGGAACAGGAUCAGCAAGAUUUGAGCUUAUGUAUCUAUUUUGGUUUGGGCUUAGGGAAAGUUGGCUGUCAAUGACAGUUCAGAAGAGAAGAGAAAUAGAAUAGAGUACAGUUGAAGAGAAGAGUAGAAUAGAAUAGAAUAGAAUAGAA